rnacentral:lncRNA from 1 species
UUGUAUAGUGCCUGCUCUGGAGGAUUGCAUUUUCAUGCUAGGCCUACCCUUGGCAUAAAAGGGUUCUCCCAUAGGACAUGCAUACCGAUUUUGCAGUUUUGCCUACUAACUCGGGGUAUUUUUCUUUUGUUUCCCCCCUCCCUUGCAUUCAUAAAAAUAUUUCAAUAAGACGGAAAUAUUCUUCUAUAUCUGAUGAUAAUUUUAAUCCAAUGAAGUUUGAAGAUUACAAGUGUUAUUUGAUUCUUGGGCGGGUCCUACGAUGAAAACCCUCUGAGAAAUGUUGUAAUUGUUUUCCAAAGGAAAAUUUUGUAUAUUUGAAAAAGGAGACAAAAAGUGUAUAUGUGGA